rnacentral:rRNA from 1 species
CCUACGGGUGGCAGCAGUGAGGAAUAUUGGUCCAUGGGCGCGAGCCUGAACCAGCCAAGUCGCGUGAGGGAUGACGGUCCUACGGAUUGUAAACCUCUUUUGCCGGGGAGCAAGCGUGCGUUCGUGAACGCGCGUCGAGAGUACCCGGAGAAAAAGCAUCGGCUAACUCCGUGCCAGCAGCCGCGGUAAUACGGAGGAUGCGAGCGUUAUCCGGAUGUAUUGGGUUUGAAGGGUGCGUAGGCGGGAUGCCAAGUCAGCGGUAAAAAGGCGGUGCUCAACGUCGUCGAGCCGUUGAAACUGGCGUUCUUGAGUGGGCGAGAAGUAUGCGGAAUGCGUGGUGUAGCGGUGAAAUGCUUAGAUAUGACGAAGAACCCCGAUUGCGAAGGCAGCUUGCUGCAGCGGAACUGACGCUGAUGCUCGAAAGCGCGGGUAUCGAACAGGAUUAGAUACCCCUGUAGUC